UGGGGAAUCUUGCGCAAUGGGCGAAAGCCUGACGCAGCAACGCCGCGUGGAGGAAGAAGGCCUUCGGGUUGUAAACUCCUGUCAGGGGGAAAGAAGGCACCUGGGUGAAUAGCCCAAGGGCUGACGGUACCCCCAGAGGAAGCCACCGCUAACUACGUGCCAGCAGCCGCGGUAAUACGUAGGUGGCGAGCGUUGUCCGGCAUUAUUGGGCGUAAAGAGCGCGUAGGCGGCUUGCCAGGGCCGACGUGAAAUCCCGGGGCUCAACUCCGGACGUGCAUCGGAAACCGGCUUGCUAGAGUCUGGGAGAGGGGAGUGGAAUUCCUCGUGUAGCGGUGAAAUGCGCAGAUAUCAGGAGGAAUACCGGUAGCGAAGGCUGCUCCCUGGAACAGUACUGACGCUGAGGCGCGAAAGCUAGGGGAGCGAACA
rnacentral:rRNA from 1 species